rnacentral:rRNA from 1 species
CGACAAGCGGUGGAUCAUGUUGUUUAAUUCGAUGAUACGCGAAGAACCUUACCAGGUCUUGACAUCCCCGCGAUGCUUAGAGAUAAAGCGGAGGUAUUCGGGGAGACAGGUGGUGCAUGGUUGUCGUCAGCUCGUGUCGUGAGAUGUUGGGUUAAGUCCCGCAACGAGCGCAACCCUUGUGUUUUAGUUGCAAACAGGUCAAGCUGUGCACUCUAGACAGACUGCCGUGGACAACACGGAGGAAGGUGGGGAUGACGUCAAAUCAUCAUGCCCCUUAUGAUCUGGGCUACACACGUGCUACAAUGGCCGGUACAACGGGCAGCGAAGGAGCGAUCCGGAGCGAAUCCUAAAAAGCCGGUCCCAGUUCGGAUUGCAGGCUGAAACUCGCCUACAUGAAGUUGGAGUUGCUAGUAAUCGCGAAUCAGAAUGUCGCGGUGAAUGCGUUCCCGGGUCUU